GAGACUUUAGUAUAAUUAAGUAUAAUUUAUUUUCAAUAAAUGGGUGUAUUAGUCUUA
rnacentral:tRNA from 1 species